rnacentral:misc_RNA from 1 species
GAUGAAGAACGCAGCGAAAUGCGAUAAGUAAUGUGAAUUGCAGAAUUCAGUGAAUCAUCGAAUCUUUGAACGCACCUUGCGCCCUUUGGCUAUUCCGAAGGGCAUGCCUGUUUGAGUAUCAUGAACACCUCAACUCUCAUGGUUUGCCAUGAUGAGCUUGGACUUGGGGGUUUUGCUGGCCUUCGGUCGGCUCCUCUCAAACGGAUCAGCUUUCCAGUGUUUGGUGGCAUCACGGGUGUGAUAACUAUCUACGCCUGUGGUUUUCUGCCAGAUAACCUUCAGCGAUGGAGGUUCGCUGGGGCUCAUAAAUGUCUCUCUUCAGUGGAGACAGCUUUUUGGACGUUUGAUCUCAAAUCAGGUAGGACUACCCACUGAACUUAAGCAUAUCAAUAAGCGGAGGA